AUCCAGCUGACGAGUCGCAAACAGGAUGAGACGCGCGUUAUGGAU
rnacentral:hammerhead_ribozyme from 1 species